AGCUCGAUAGCGCAACGGUAGCGCGUCCGUCCUCUAUUGUGGAUCGGAAUUGACCUAAUUGUUGACGGAAGAUCUCGGUUCGACUCCGAGUCGAACUA
rfam:Stereum hirsutum FP-91666 SS1 unplaced genomic scaffold STEHIscaffold_24, whole genome shotgun sequence.